rfam:Orchesella cincta Ocin01_Sc2578, whole genome shotgun sequence.
CCAACGGUUCUUUUAAGAACCACCACAAUUUCCUGAGAGCAAUCG